UCAGGCCCAUCACCAAGGGCAUUUCCCUUGCACAAAAAAUUAUCUAGACUGUUGCACUACAAAGAAAACAGGCAUGUGCUCACUCCAUUACCGAUUUGGAAAUGACUAAAGGCCAGGCUACGAAUAACAAUUUAAGGAGCUUCCUCAAAAAUCUUCAGAACCCAAAGGCAUCUAUUCUUAAUUAGCACAGUAUGUACCCAAUGAAUCUAUGUCUGAGAGUAUCCUUCUUAUAUCCCAAAUAUAUCUAUUACUGCAGAUUCAGUCCAAGUCUCCAUCCUGAACAUGCAAGCCACCAUCAUUUUGAGGACAACACAUCGGAUACCUAGAUGCUUUAGCUCCAUAACUUUUCAUAUCACAACCCAUGGGUAGAAAAACAACAGGGAGCUUCUCAGUUUCUUGCUAGAUUCUUUUAGGAACAUAGCACCCCUAGAAAAAGGCGCAUGGGAACUAUUACAGAACUCUCAAAGUAAUAUUCUAUUCUGUAAUCCUAAUUGCAACUUUAUGGCUGCUGGAAAUGGUAGCAAACCUUCAUGGUGUUGGCCAACUUAUUAAUGUGCAUAGAUCACUAGAAAUAGGAGUAGGGCAACAGAAAAUGUGUGGAUAUUUGGUAAAAUUAUCAAAAAACUGCCGCUCAGCAGCCUAUUUAUCACUUCUCUGAAGCAGAAUUCAACAGUGGGACUUUGGAUGUCUCUUCUCAUCAGAAAGCAAAUACAAAUUCUUCCUUCAGAAAUUCAACUGCGGGUCUCUAGCGCUAAAUAACUCAUUAAAAACACAUGAACAUUUAACCCCUUGAAUCCAAGCUCUUCUACUAUUGAAAAGUAAAUCACUAAUGGAUGGGCAGGGAAAAAAUAGCCCCAACUUCGCAGGCAGAGGCAGAGCCACCUGGGGUGCACCCACUGGAUUUUUGUCCUGGGUAUUUCACCAAUUAUACUUGAGGUGCCACCAGUUUUUUAAGGCUAGGAGAAAACCGUAAACAACCGCAUCAAAAAUUCAAGAAAAAUAUUGUCAGAAAAAAUCACUGUUGCUAGAGAAAGAUUACCAUCAAGAACAAUAACUUUGGAAAAAUGAAUAAAUCAUAAGGAUUUGAGUUGAAAUUAUAUCAUUAACAACAAUCAGAUCGAGUGCGAUUUCAACAACACUAAUAAAAUCCAAUAUACCUUCCAAUUUUGUUGAUGAAGAAGUUGAGCAGAAAUCUCUGCAACACACGAUAAAUUGGUGCCAAGGGGGUGAUGAAUGCGUCUCCCUUUCUGCCUCUCCGUCACAUAAAUUGUUACCAAUUUUUAGGGUAAUUCCGAGUUGGAAAACCUUAGCCGCUUGUUCCCUUCGCCAUGUGAAAUAAGAGUUAAACUGGUUUGGUACUACUUUAGA
rnacentral:lncRNA from 1 species